CCUAACACCAACACAGGCACACUGGGCCUGUCUGGAUUAGCAGCUGAUAGAAGUAGAAAGUAGAUAGCCAGAUAGGAAUUACAAGAAUCUAUUACCAAAUACCUUCCCAAACUUCAGCUUUUUAUUGCUCAGGAUAUUUUUGAGCAGAAAAGGAAUAUUAAGCUAUUUCUCUUUCAAGGCUAAAUUAAGCCCUCACCAGGCAAUGUCAGAGUGUUUGAGGCACCACAUGUCUGUGUGACUGUUGGUAUGGAAGAAUGCGGUUGAGAAGAGUGAGAGCUGGUGCUAGAAGGAUGUUCUGUAAAUGUGGAAGGACCCAUGAUGGAGAGAGGACUCCAAGAUGGAGGAGAUUUCUCAUGGAGAUUUAUGUUGAACUUGUCCUGUAAAUGGCAUUUCAACUGGUGUGUCAACCAACGGAAAAUGGUCAUCAAGAAAUUCAAAACUCUUUUCUUGAUUUUCACUUCAAAAUUGGGAUAAUAAUCCACUGUUAUCAAGCCACUUUUCUGCUCAGUAAUUUUUCAUGCUCAGUAAUUCUUCAAUUAUUUUUCACUGAUUCUGAGAUUAGUGCUCACUAUAAUUUUAAAAGUCUUGGU